rnacentral:rRNA from 1 species
GAUCCUGGCUCAGGAUGAACGCUGGCGGCGUGCCUAACACAUGCAAGUCGAACGAGGUAAAUGAGAUGAAGUUUUCGGAUGGAUUCUUAUUUACCGAGUGGCGGACGGGUGAGUAACGCGUGGGUAACCUGCCUCAUACAGGGGGAUAACGAUUGGAAACGAUUGCUAAUACCGCAUAAGCGCACAGUACCACAUGGUACAGUGUGAAAAACUCCGGUGGUAUGAGAUGGACCCGCGUCUGAUUAGCUAGUUGGUGAGGUAACGGCCCACCAAGGCAACGAUCAGUAGCCGACCUGAGAGGGUGACCGGCCACAUUGGGACUGAGACACGGCCCAGACUCUACGGGAGGCAGCAGUGGGGGAUAUUGCACAAUGGAGGAAAACUCUGAUGCAGCGACGCCGCGUGAGUGAAGAAGUAUUCGGUAUGUAAAGCUCUAUCAGCA